rnacentral:rRNA from 1 species
UACGUAGGUGGCAAGCGUUGUCCGGAAUUAUUGGGCGUAAAGCGCGCGCAGGCGGUCCUUUAAGUCUGAUGUGAAAGCCCACGGCUCAACCGUGGAGGGUCAUUGGAAACUGGGGGACUUGAGUGCAGGAGAGAAGAGUGGAAUUCCAGGUGUAGCGGUGAAAUGCGUAGAUAUCUGGAGGAACACCGGUGGCGAAGGCGGCAUCCUGGACCGGUAUUGACACUGAGGCGCGAAAGCCAGGGGAGCAAACGGG